CAUAUUUUUUUGGCAGUUCAAGGUAACAGUGAAGAGUCCUUGUCGUGUUGAAUUUCUCGGCUGCUACACUAACACUAUGUGUUUGAAUCAGACUCGCGAUCUUAAUCUGAUUCGGCAUCCGACUUUGGUCCGAGUCAGAUCGUUUUCUUUUAAUCUUUCUGAGUCUGACUCGCAAUUACAUCUAACUCAUAGCUAUUUGAGUCAGGACUCAGGUGUCUUUUCAUUUUGCACAUCUAACUCGAAUCAAGAAGAUUCUUGAACUUUAACUUUUGAGUUAGAGGUUUGCAAACAAGCCAAAGAUAACUGGAAUGACGGCUUCCCUUGUAAUAAAAAAGGCAAGAAACUACCUCUAGUACUGUAAGCGUAUAAAUGCAGUUGAUCAUUCUUAAAUUGGUCUUUAGUAUGUGAUCAAAUGGCUUCACGUCAUCUUAGAGUCCAAGGCCAGUUAUAUGUAUAAUUUCUGAAAAGAAAGUAAAUCUUCUAUAUUCUGUACUGAAUGUUUAGUUUAAAACGUUGCUGUUGAAUCCCAAACAUGCCUAUACUUGCAGAUUUAUAGAGUUGAAGACAGAAAUGAAGUAGUACUUUGUUCCUAUUGCCAAACUAAGCUGAUAUUUGCUCAUCCACUCCCAAUAUUUUACUCCUUAAGCCUGCUCUGUGUAUUUUUUUCUGGUUGAAGGGAUGUUAGAAAUUUGCUUCGCCGUAUCAUUGUGGACAGGAGAGGAUUAUCACAGGGAAAGUGAUUGAAAGAUUCAAGAAACUAAGUUAUGUAUCCCAUGUCACAGUUGCAUAUUUGUCUGAAGGAAUUGGUUUGGUGGAUGCAUUGGAACCAAAAGUAGAAAAGGAGAGUCUGGAUGCCACCUGACAUAAGUUUCUUUGCUAGCUUGGCUCACUUCAAAAAAUUUCUCUGGGAAGGUAAUUAAAAAUCUGGCUUUAAUGCUCAAUACUGACCUGACAUAAGUUUCUGCGGUAGCUUCUCUCACUUCAAGUUUCAACCUUUUUUGCAUACAAUAUUUUGUGUAGAUAAACUUGUUGUUCAGGAUUGAUGUGUCUUUGGUAACUUGUUGCGGGUAAUUAGCUUCUGUCUUGUGUGACUUGAUUUACUAAAUAGUUUGUAGCUACGUUCAGUCUAGCGGUUGAGCUCAUCAGACUGAUUCCGGUAUGUCACGAUGCUUGAAAGGUGUUUUACUCCAAGGGCAAUUUCUUAGGCGUUUAUGAAUGUGUAUGAAUUUCUUAGACAUUUUAUGGGUUUCAAAGAUUAGUUGGUCCUACUAUUAAAAUUCACAGUUGUCGAAGCAGUUGGUAUGUCUUGAAGCUUGCAAGAAACUACAUCAAUUGGGAGUUAUGAUGAAAUGGUUAGAUUUACCUGGCGAGUUUGUGCCAUCAUUGAUUGAUGAAGCCGUUAGCAGAGCAUCUCUAUGGUGUUCCUUGCCGAGAGGGGUUUUCAGGAUGUUGAAAGCAGGAACACAUGCAUCUUUGUAAGAAAUUGAGAGGGUUGAGUUGGCAAGCUUAUUUACUGGCAAAAACCACGCAGAUGUUGAUCCCGGGGAAUUGACAAAUUUAUAUUCAGCUUCCGUUGAUGCUGAAAAUUGUCCUCAAUUUCCAGCAGCAUCUUCAUCACUCACCUGGACUUGUAAAUAACCAAAUAACAGCGCUUUUGGAGAUUUAUGUAUUUUUGAUUUGUUAGGGAGUGAGUAUGUAGCGGGGGGAAUUCUAAUGGACACCGAGCUUAACCUUGAUAUACAAUAUAGUCUGAAAAGUAUUUAAGCCACUACUCUUUACACCUGAGAAACC